UACGGAGGGUGCAAGCGUUAUCCGGAUUCACUGGGUUUAAAGGGUGUGUAGGCGGGCAGGUAAGUCAGUGGUGAAAUCUCCGAGCUUAACUCGGAAACUGCCGUUGAUACUAUUUGUCUUGAAUAUUGUGAAGGUAAGCGGAAUAUGUCAUGUAGCGGUGAAAUGCUUAGAUAUGACAUAGAACACCAAUUGCGAAGGCAGCUUACUACACAACGAUUGACGCUGAGGCACGAAAGCGUGGGGAUCAAACAGG
rnacentral:rRNA from 1 species